AUCAUUCAACAUAUUGGAGAAGAAGAUAAUAUUCUCUUAAGAUGAUUUUAAUCUGAUAACUGGGUUAUGGCCGACCAAGAAAAUUGUAGAAAGAGAAACAAGCGGUGAAAGACUGUGACAACUCAUUCUUGGACCGAAGGACCCAAAUGAUAAGGAUAGUUCUUGCAAGGACGUGAAUAAUGUGUCCGAGAAGUUCACUUUUACAAACGAUGAAGAGGUCGUUAAGGUUGCGUUGGCAUUAUUCAUCGAAAUGAUGAUGAUUGGAAAAGACAAGAAAACCCAAUUUUAUGUGAAGACAUUUGGGAUUGUUGAUAACCUUGAAGUCUUUAGAUAUUAUGACUGGUCGUCCGUCAUUUUCAAACGUACCUUGAAUAUCAUGAAGACUAUCAUGUGCGAGAAGAAUGAGACACAUGAGACAAAAGAAAACAAAUAAUGCUCAUCAUGCCUCAUAUUAUUAUAUAAAGGGAUUUGCACUUGCAUUCCAAGUUUGGGCUUACGAACUUUUAUCCACGUCAAGUAAGUUCAUAGCCAACAAAGUCAGUAAGGUUUUAAUUCCUAGAAUUCUUAAAUGGACUUGAUCUCGUGCUUCAUCUUAUAGAUCGUUGAGUAAGAAUGUGUUUCAGCUCAAAAAAACUAUUGUUUUGACGAGACUGGUACCAAGCAUAGAGGAGAUAAGGUAAAAGGACCGGUUGGAAGGAAGAAAGAUUAAAGAGGUGAUCCAUCAUGUUGAAGGAAGAAGGAUUGAGGAGGUUGAGGAGGUUGAGGGGC